AGGGUCGAUGCAGUAUGUCUGCCUGCUUGCCUGGCUGCCUGCCUGUUGAAGCACGGGUACGCAUGCGAUAACGCUGCCACUAGGGCCGUGAUACUCGUGCUCGUGCACAGCCUGUCUUUUUUUGCUAUUCUUAUGUACUGGAGUAGCGCCGAGGAGAACGCUUCGUGCCGCCGAUCUCGGUGACAAGGUGCACUAUAGGUGCUCGCGUGAAGCUGGGCAGGUUCGCGCACCGCAGCGGCGCCUCGCAGCAGGCACGAAUAGAGACGAUCACCAGCAGCUGAUGACGUGAUGGAACUCGAGUGCGUAUGAGUUCCUUCGGCUGUCUUCGAUAGGUUUUGCCGUCAUCGGCAGCUAUGUGGUCCGCGAUGAAAGCAACUGUGCCGAGGAGUGCUGAGAACCCUGCGAGCGACAAAGCGCCCGCCAGCUCUUCACAAGCGGCGAACGAGCGGUCGAGCGAGCACGCCACAGACGAGGUUAGCUGGGUACGACGCCGCCAAGCCGACGUGGUCGAGGACGUUAUGUACCGCGAGCGUAUGACGCUUCGCGUGUGCGCGUUGGGUUUUGGUGCGUUCAGUAGAGUUCGUGGCGCACUGGUGAUCCGCGAUUGCCAGUAUCAGAAUAGACUGAUAAUUGGAACUUGUCAAUCCGUUCCAGCCGCUUGAUGUUUUAUCGGAAAUAGUUUACAUGGACGGAACCGAGACUCGAAGCACAGCGAUCGCGAUAAGCGCCGAACGGUUCAUUCAUGUACACGGGAUACUUUGUCGUUAGUCGGAAUGGCUUGGUUGACACGUUGCCACCGGAGUAGUUUAGAUCAUCAGAACCAGAUGAUUCGGAACGCGCCCAAACAAAACUUCACAAAAGACCAAUAAUAUCCCUCGUAUUUGUAGGCACGAGACUCCGCUGUCUUCCGUUGCUUACCCGUAGCAUCUACACAUCACGCAUUCUUCAAGUUCUUGAUCUUUCUAUUUCAAGCCAACUCGUGAAUGCAGUGACUCGCGCCGUUUUGGUGGACAAGGCAUCAAACUCGACGUCGUCCAUUGGUGAAUGCUUCACGAGCUCAUCCCGACUGUUCACUGGACUAAUAUCGUCAAGUAAGUGAUUGAGUUUGAAAGACCAAUCCUCCUUUCGUUGUGGCUAUCGACGAAGCUGCAUUCCACAGUAGCAUGAUCCAUCGCCCGCAAUAUGCUACCAGGGGUUCCCGUCUCUUCUGCUCCGAAAGAAAACGGUCUUGGUUUUGGACUUUAGUCACCGCAGCGAUCGCUUCUAGUCGAGCACUGGCUAUCGUUGUGCGCGAAGGCAGCGUGGACGGAUCACGAUUCCUGGCCAUGAUCUCCAGCCUGGAUAUUCCUUCUGGUACGUGUUUCAUCAUGAACAACAUCGCGUUCCAUGAACCCGCUGUCGGAUGGAUCAGCAUAAGCUUUCACGCGCUGCAGACAGCGUUCUUGACGAGCGGAUCGCACAGAAUAAAAAGUCCAUGAUUAUGGGGUACGGCACCGAGCGCUGAUACGAGCGAGUGCAUCUAGCGAAGCGUUCUGUACACAACAGGGGCGUGUUCCGAGCGUUGGUGCAAACGUUCACGUGCCACUGGACCGAAAUCGGACCGCAAGGUGUUGUCGCCAGAUGGGAACACAUGGCUCGAGUCGAGUGUCACCGCUGCGACCGGCGCGCCAGUGCUGGGCGCAAACGCGAAGCUGAGGAAGGCAAGCCACUCGUAGACCGCAACCACUGCACGGGCAGGAGAGGCGUCGAGCGCAGCAGCCGGUGGCUGUGAAAUCGGGACUUCAUGUUGCCGUCAAUGUCCUUUGACCUCUGACAAAGGAGCUGGAAAGGCAAGCGAGAUCCGCGUAUUUAAAGCCGGAUACAAGCAAGAGAAGAAAGCCUACAACGCCUAGUGUUGAUGUAAAUAUGGGAAGAACCCAAAAAUUUAGC
rnacentral:misc_RNA from 1 species